AAGAUACACUAAAGGCUUUAGAAAUGGGAGCUGUAGAGAUUCUAAUAGUCUAUGAAAAUCUGGAUAUAAUGAGAUAUGUUCUUCAUUGCCAAGGCACAGAAGAGGAGAAAAUUCUCUAUCUAACUCCAGAACAAGAGAAGGAUAAAUCUCAUUUCACAGACAAAGAGACAGGACAAGAACAUGAGCUGAUUGAGAGCAUGCCCCUGCUGGAAUGGUUUGCUAACAACUAUAAAAAAUUUGGAGCUACGUUGGAA